UAUAUACAAUAUUAUCUAAAAUGGGAUGAACCUGCACGUUGCUGGGAUCACGUUGGAAAUUAGCUUCCUGGGUAGAUCGGUUUCAAAUAGCUAUAUUGAGGCUUCGUAAAUAUAAAUUUUGUGCAGGUUGAGUGGGAAACAAAAGAGCAUGUGCCAGCUCAAGCGACAAAGAGAAAUUGGGGCGGUAAGGGAGGAAAAUUGGGCACCCAAAGUAAGGGAAAAGAGAGGAA